rnacentral:rRNA from 1 species
UACGAAGGGGGCUAGCGUUGCUCGGAAUCACUGGGCGUAAAGCGCACGUAGGCGGCUUUCUAAGUCAGGGGUGAAAUCCUGGAGCUCAACUCCAGAACUGCCUUUGAUACUGGAGAGCUUGAGUCCGGGAGAGGUGAGUGGAACUGCGAGUGUAGAGGUGAAAUUCGUAGAUAUUCGCAAGAACACCAGUGGCGAAGGCGGCUCACUGGCCCGAUACUGACGCUGAGGCACGAAAGCGAUGGGGAGCAAACAGGGAUUAGAU